UACUUCCGUAGCUCAGUUGGUAGAGCGUUCGACCGAUAAUCGAAGGGUCACUGGUUCAAGUCCAGUCGGGAGUACCAA
rnacentral:tRNA from 1 species